GCCAUUCUAGUGGAGGAUAAUUUAGAGAGAUGUCUCAAGUUAUCAAAUACAACUAAAGAGGAGGAUCCUAAUUUACAAAGAGAAGUGAUAGAGUUGGAUAGUGAAUCUCUAUUAGAUGUUGUGCUAGGAACAAAGGAGGAGCCACAUGGUGAGACAAGAAAAAUAGAGCUUAAGCCUUUACCUAAUCAUUUGAAAUAUGUGUUUCUUCAGAAGGAGCCUAACUUAGUAGUUAU
rnacentral:lncRNA from 1 species